rnacentral:rRNA from 1 species
UACGUAGGGUGCAAGCGUUAAUCGGAAUUACUGGGCGUAAAGCGUGCGCAGGCGGCUAUGCAAGACAGAUGUGAAAUCCCCCGGGCUCAACCUGGGAACUGCAUUUGUGACUGCAUAGCUAGAGUACGGUAGAGGGGGAUGGAAUUCCGCGUGUAGCAGUGAAAUGCGUAGAUAUGCGGAGGAACACCGAUGGCGAAGGCAAUCCCCUGGACCUGUACUGACG